GAAAGAGAGGCAAUAGAGGCCACAAAAAAGGCAAGAAAAAUCCCAAGCAAUGCCAGGAAAAGGUACGAAAAUGGUUCUGCCAGGUGCAAUCAAGGUCCGUGCUGGAGAGUGGGAGAAAGGGCCCUGCUGGUUGCCGUGUCCUCGGUGGGCAGCGAGCUCUGACCUUGGCCGGAUGGGCUGCUGAGUAAUGGAACAAUGGGGAUGCGCUUUUAUGUAUUUAGUGACCUUUACAGAUUUCUCCCCCUGCUUCAGACUCAUCACAGCAGGACAGCGUGAAGACUGAAAGUGUAAGAAGAUGUGGAGGGAAAGAGAGAAUCUGACAGGAGCAUUGAACGCAGAGGUGUUUCUGGGCAUCUAAAGCAGCAGAGGCUUGGAAGAGACUGUGAAGAAAACAGCAUGGAAUACAGGGAGUAUGAGGAGCACGCCUUUCAGAGAUUCCAGGUUGUGUCAAGCACAACACUUUUUGCAGCAGAUUGAUUGUGUCACAGGAGGGAUCUGCCCAGUGUCCAAGAUGAUGUUUGAGAUUGAGGCUUCAGGUGCCAGCCCUAAUAAAGGCCACAGCCUUGGAAUCAGGAUGAAGCUGGAGCCUGAGGGAGCCAGGCACACUCAGGAGAGGCUGACCGAGAGGCUCACAGGCCAUCACGAGGCUCUCUGAAGCAGACUCAUUUCAGGUGCAGAUGCAUUGCAUCCAUGGCAGAGGGUCAGAGUUAGCAGGUGCCGGGCCUUCCUAGGAGCACGCUGUCUGAGAGACACCGGCCCGGUGACAGCAGGACCUUCCCAGCUGACGAGGUGGCCUUUCUUUGCACCUGGCACGGACUGGCAUCGCCAGAUGUCUGAGAGAUAAGUAGAGGGCUAUGACCCACAGAGGGGAUGAAGGCAGGGUGCUGGUUUGGGAAUUACUGGGAGGGGUUUUUGAGUCCAAUUUGGCGGUGGGGGGGUGUCCAUGAAGUGGCCCCUUAGGCCCCAUAAAAGCAAAGUCUCACCUUUGAUCACAGUGCUGAGGUGUUCAGGGCAGAGCAGUCCCGGUGUGUCUGGUGUCACUUGUCUGCUGUGCAUUAUGUGUUGUUUGUGUAUCUCCUGUCUUUUACCUUAGCACAUUGAGG